rnacentral:rRNA from 1 species
AUUGAACGCUGGCGGCAGGCCUAACACAUGCAAGUCGAACGGUAACAGGAAGAAGCUUGCUUCUUUGCUUACGAGUGGCGGACGGGUGAGUACUGUCUCGGAAACUGCCUGAUGGUGGGGGAUAAUUACUGUAACCGGUAUCUAAUACCGCAUAACGUCGCAAGAGCAAAGCGGGGGACCUUCGGGCCUCUUGCCUUCGGAUGUGCCCAGAUGGGUUUAGCUAGUAGGUGGGGUAACGGCUCACCUAGUCGACGAUCCCUAGCUGUGCUGAGAGGUUGACCAGCAACACUGGAACUGAGAAACGGUCCAGACUCCUACGGGAGGCAGAAGUGGGGAAUAAUGCAAAAUGGGAGGAAGCCUGAAGGAGCCAUGCCGAGAGAAUGAAGAAGGCGUACGGGUUGUAAAGUACUAGCAGCAGGGAAGAAAGGAGUAAAGAUAAAACCUUUGCUGAUUGACGGUACACGAAGAAGAAGCCCAGGCUAACUACGUG